rnacentral:snoRNA from 1 species
UGAUGAUAAUGAGACCACUGCACUAUCUGAGUUCUUGGAAAGCAGGUGAUGGAGAGUUUUCUGAGAAAAAGAAAGAG